UCUUGAUGCUCUGCAUUUAUGGGGUCCCUCCACUGCCUUCAACCCUGUCUCAUGCCCGCGAAUGAAUAGCAUUUUUCAAAAGUUACACUUCAGAUUUUCUGAGUCUUCCCACUGUUAGAGAAUUCCUCUACUCUCUCAGCUCACUCUAGGACUCUCAGCUGCAUUCGCUACUUGGGUGAACUGGGAUGGUAAUUCUCAGUGCCACCAGGUAGCCCCAUUGAACAUCCUCAUCACUGCAGAUGUCCAAACUGACUCAUCUUACCUUCGCCAAGAGCGGCACCCUCCCUUGGCUUUCCUUCCUCUCAUUAGUAUCAAAUAUGGCAGAAAAAUAUUUCAUUACAUUAGCAAAUACAUUUUCCUCCUUAGUUUUUUUUAAUGAACAACUUUUCUCCCAUGAAAAAUCAGGAGGCUAAGACAUUCAGGACUUACUGCCUCAGAGCAAAUCUGGCAGAGUGGAAAUGUAAAGGGAAAGCAAAGAAUCAAAUUCUUGGCUUCUGGAGGGCUUUUGAAAUUCAUAGUAAGAAUAGUGUUGAAAGCCAAGAUUCUGGUUUGGAAAAGCCAGGCUUUUUCAGAUAGACUAGAGCUCUGAGUUCCGCAGGCAUAGUUUGGGACAUAAAGAGCAGAGUUUAAGAAAUUGGGACUUGAAAUUCUAGCCACUCAUGGCUUUUGUUUCUCCCUUUAAAUAUCAACUCAGCUACUCCCACAUCUUCACUCCUUCCUACCUGCCCUGCUCCAGGCUGAGCCCUCCCAACUCCAGGCCUGGGAUAUUGUAACUGCCCCUUGCUGAGCACAGUGGCAGUGACUCUAUCUUAUGCUCCCCCAUCCACCUUGCACAGCCCACCACAGUGGUCCUUCUAAAAUCCUACCUCAGGUCCUUCCAGUGUCUAUUCUUUGCCCUCAAAAAACAAUUUGCUUCAAUUCAAUACAUUUUGAACACCUGUUAGAUACUAGGAUUUGUGCUAGCUUGGGGUCAACCAGCUAAAACCCCUGGAACAAAUCAGGCCCACCAGUUUAUGUUUUCAUAAAUAAAAGUUUAUUGGAACACACUCACAUUUAAACAAUAUUGUCUGUGGCAGCUUUUGUACUAAGAAGGAAAAGUCAAGAAGCUGUAACAGAAGGGGUUUGGCCCCAAAAGCCUCAAAUAUGCACUACCAGGCCCUUUAUAGAAAAUGUUUAUUGACCCUUGUGCUAGAUGCUGAGGAUUCCACAGUGAGUGAAAUAGACAUGGUCCCCUGCUGCUUGUAGACCAAGGUGUUCCACCUCCAGCCCUUGCCUACCAUUUCUGCCCUGUCUCCCACUACCCUCUAUCCAAUUCCUCUGAGAAUACAGCAGGUCCUAGAUUUUGAAAUUCAAAGAUCAACAAAAACAAGUUUUUAAUCACAGAAGAUUGACACAGGAUUAUCAGAUAUCAUCUAAUAUUUCAACCAUUUUAUAAGGAGAAAACAUUUUUAAUAAUUUUUUUCUCAAAGUAUAGUUUAUUUACAAUGUUGUGCCAAUUUCUUCUGUACAGCAAAACAACCCAGUCAUACAUAUAUAUGCACUCCCUUUCUUAUAUUAUCUUCCAUCAUGGUCUAUCCCAAGAGACUGGAUAUGUUUCCAUGUGCUAUACAGUAGGACCUCAUUGGUUAUCCAUCUAUUAUUAUUAUUAUUAUUUUGUCUUUUUUUAGGGCCGCACCUGCAGCAUAUGGAGGUUUCCAGGCUAGGGGUCUAAUCAGAGCUGUAGCCGCCAGCCUACAUCAGAGCCACAGCAACGCAGGAUCCAAGCCACGUCUGCAACCUACACCAUAGCUCACGGCAAUGCCAGAGCUUAAACCACUGAGCAAGGCCAGGGAUUGAACCCACAACCUCAUGGUUCCUAGUCGGAUUUGUUAACCACUGUGCCAUGACGGGAACUCCUGGUUAUCCACCUAAAUGGAAGAGUUUGCAUCCGCUAACCCCAAACUCCCAAUCCAUCCCACUCCCUCCACUCUCCCCUUGGCAACCACACGUCUGUUCUCUAUGUCUGUGAGUCUGUUUCUGUUCUGUAUAUAGGUUCUUUGAGCCAUAUUUUAGAUUCCACAUAUAAGUGAUAUCAUAUGGUAUUUGUUUUUCUCUUCCUGACUUAACUUCACUUAGUGUGAGAAUCUCUGGUUGCAUCCAUGUUCCUUCAAAUGGCAUUAUUUUAUUCUUUUGAUGGCAAGUAAUAUUCCAUUGUAUGUAUGUACCACAUCUUCUUAUCCAUUUAUCUGUCAAUGAACAUUUAGUUUGUUUCCAUAUCAUGGCUUUUGUGACUAGUGCUGCUAUGAACAUACAGGUGCAUGAAUCUUUUCAAUUGUAGUUCUGACCAGAUAUAUACCUAGGAGUGGGAUUGUUGGAUCAUAUGGUAAUUCUAUUUUUAGUUUUCUGAGGAGUCUUCAUAUUGUUUUCUAUAGUGGUUGUACCAAUUUACAUUCCAGGAGGCUUCCCUUUUCUCCACACCCUCUUCGGCAUUUAUUUGCAGACUAAUUAGUGAUGGCCGUUCUGACCAGUGUGAGAUGGUAUCUCAUUGUAGUUUUGAUUUGUGUUUCUCUAAUAACUAGUGAUGUUGAGCAUUUUUUUCACAUGCUUACCUGCUGUCCAUGUUUUCUUUGGAGAAAUGUCUGUUUAGGUCUUCUGACCAUUUUUCAAUUGGGUUGUUAGUUUUUUUGUUGUAUGAGUUGUUUGCAUAUUUUGGAGAUUAAACCCUUGUCAGUUGCAUCAUUUGCAGCUAUGUUUUCCCAUUCUGCAGGCUGUCAUUAUUUCUUUUUUUUUUAAAUAGUUUCCUUUGCUAUGCAAAAGCAUAUAGGUUUGAUUAGGUCUCCAUUGGUUUAUUUCUGUUUUUACUUCUUAUUGUCUUGGAAGACUGACCUAAGAAAACAUUUGUAUGGUUUAUGUCAGAAAAUGUUUUACCUAUAUUCCCUUCUGGGAGUUUUAUGGUGUCAUGACUUAUAUUUAAGUCUUUAAGCCAUUUUGAGUUUAUUUUUGUGCGUGGUGUGAGAGUGUGUUCUAGUUUCAUUGAUUUAGAUACAGCUGUCCAGUCUUCCCAGUACCACUUACCAAAAAGACUGUCUUUUCCCAUUUUACAUUCUUGCCUCCUUUAUCAAAGAUUAAUUUAUUAUAGGUGUUUUGGUUUAUUUCUUGGCUAUUUUGUUCCAUUGAUCCACAUGUUUGUUUUUGUACCCAUACCAUACUGUCUUGAUUACUGUAGCUUUGUAACAUUGUUUGACGUUUGGGAGAAUUAUGUCUAAGGGAAAAAACAUUUUAACAUUAAAAAGCAGCAAGAAUAUCUCUAAAAAUAAAGAAGAAUUCCACAAGCUACAUUAGUUUUUAAAAAUUCAUUCUAUAGGCUCUAUUUUCCCCGUUAACAGUGACUGAUGACCAUUCGUGAUGAAUCAUCACAGGUCUAUGGGCAGGUACAUAGGAACCUUUGAUCUAGUCUAGGCAAAGUGGUUUACUUUGUAUUUAGCCAAAUUGGCUAUGACUCCUCCCAUGCAGUUUUGCAUCCAGAAAGCUCUUCCUCCUUUUCUCCUGCUCAUUGUUCAAAGCCCAGCUCCUCAGCAGCAAAAGCAUAAGCUUCCCUCCAGCAGCAUCUAAAGAUUCAACUGCUCACAGGAGCAGUCAGGCUGUCAGCAGAAAGAUAAGUGAUAUGGCUGGGGUAGCGCUCUCAGCCACAGGGCAGGUGACAAGGAUGGCCAAGAGGGCCGUCUGGAGUGAGGCCCUUUCCCUGGCACAUGCAGGUGAACCCAUUUGACACUGGUAUGCUGACACCCCCACAGAGAAGAUUCCACCCAAAUACCCAAGAGAUGAACACCAGCUUCCUAACAAGUCUCUCAGGUGACCCAGGAGCCCUGAGGGCCCCGGGCAGUAGCCAACUCCCAAUCAGCAGGCGGGUGGCGGCAGACACUGAGAGAGGUCGCCUUACUGGCAGGCAGCCCCAGGAUACUUGGUACUCACUGCUCACAUGAAGAUUCUGGAAUCCCCUUAUACGAUCCCGAGGUCUGUGGAAAAAUAAAUUAUGGCUCUAUGAUGAAGAUAAUCCCAGCAAGGCCUGGUGCCAAGCGGACUUUUCUGCCUGACUUUCCUUCAGGGACAAACAUUCUCCAGACACGCCUGCUGACCCAGCACCUCCUCCCUCCCCCAGUGUGUGUGAGAGAGAUCACUUUAGAACAGUAAGCUGCCUCCCUCUUUUUACCAGUGGGGGUGGUGCAGCAUUUCUCUAACUGCCUCCCCCCCCCCACAUUAGAGCAAGAGGUCUCAUCUUAUUGUCCUCCUGAGCUGGUUUAUAGCCAAGUUGUUUUGCUUCUCAAUUGCUUUAAUCAUUUUGAGACAAAUG
rnacentral:lncRNA from 1 species